rnacentral:lncRNA from 1 species
CACACUAUCAUCAACAUGAUGCCAACAAUAACCAACAACUAAAAUACUCAAACUCCCAACAUUCUGAUCAGUGAUUUACAUGAUCAUCACAAGCACGAAAAAGAUCCCAAACAUUAUAAGAAACGUGUUCAGAAGGUUAUUCUCUUGAUGGCCUCGCCUCGAAUGGAAAUACUCAUGAACAUGAUGACCCCCAUGAAACCCACCCGGAAACCUCGGCCCAUAAACAUGUCGCAUGCCAUACUGCAACGGGUUUUGGAACCCAUGAACAUUCAUUUCAGCUAAAGACGGGAACAACCCACCGAUACCAGUAGAAAACGCAAAAUUCCCAAAUCUAGCAGACGCCAUAGGCGCAAACCCUCCAAACAUAGAAUUCGAAAAGUUGUUAAUAUCCGGAGGAGGAGCGGUCGCAGGUCUCUGUCCAGCUGGCCUGUGCGGGAUAUCAACGCCGGGUAUGCGUUUGGAUCUCGGGUCAGUUUGUUGUGUCUUCCCUCUGCCAUACAGAGGAAUCAGCUUCUCCUCUUAUAUUGCAUUCAAAAUCCCCAACAUCAUUGUCCCUUGAUGAAGAACUUUCUGGAAACCUCAUCGAUUCGU